rnacentral:lncRNA from 1 species
UCUUUUCCACGUAACCCCAUUUCCACUUCACAAAAAGCAUGAAUCCAUCUCGCACAAGAUUUUCCUACUAAAGUUUACGAGGUUUUUUCACUUCAAAUUUUUGGUAAAAUUUUCUGGGUACUACCACUUUUAGUCGGAAAUUCACCAGCCGACCGGUCAACGAUCAUGAACCAGUCUCAGCUGCUGAACCGGAGUUACCACCCUUGGCCACCACCACGUCCCACAAUGAUACCCGAAAAUCAACCCGCGCUGGUUUUUUCACAAAGACCUAGUUACACUCCAGCGAACGUAAACCGGAGUAAUUGGAAAUACCGGCCGAACAACAAACCCCGCCGGUUUUUUCACACAAUGAUACCCGAAAAUCAACCCGCACCGGUUUUUUCACAAGGACCUAGUUACACUCCAGCGAACGAAAACCGGAGUAAUUGGAAAUACCGGCCGAACAACAAACCCCCCCGGUUUUUCAGAAGAAGAAACAGAGUC